GCGCCCAUAGCUCAGUCGGUUAGAGCAACAGACUCAUAAUCUGUGGGUCCCUGGUUCGAGCCCAGGUGGGCGCA
rnacentral:tRNA from 1 species